rnacentral:tRNA from 1 species
GAGUAUAGCUCAAUGGUAGAGCAUUUGCCUAGCAUGCAUUAGGCCCUGGGUUCAAUCCUCAGAACCA